rnacentral:rRNA from 1 species
CAGUAGCCGCGGUAAUACGAAGGGUGCAAGCGUUAAUCGGAAUUACUGGGCGUAAAGCGUGCGUAGGCGGUGAGUUAAGUCUGCUGUGAAAUCCCCGGGCUCAACCUGGGAAUGGCAGUGGAUACUGGCUCGCUAGAGUGUGUCAGAGGAUGGUGGAAUUCCCGGUGUAGCGGUGAAAUGCGUAGAGAUCGGGAGGAACAUCAGUGGCGAAGGCGGCCAUCUGGGACAACACUGACGCUGAGGCACGAAAGCGUGGGGAGCAAACAGGAUUAGAUACCCCUGUAGUCCCUGUCUCUUAUCC